AAAGGUGGCUAUACUACCGCUUUUGGAUGGGCCCGCGGCGCAUUAGCUAGUUGGUAGGGUAAAGGCUUACCAAGGCAAUGAUGCGUAGCCGGAUUGAGAGGUUGAUCGGCCACAUUGGGACUGAGACACGGCCCAAACUCCUACGGGAGGCAGCAGUAGGGAAUCUUCCACAAUGGGCGAAAGCCUGAUGGAGCAACGCCGCGUGGGUGAAGAAGGUCUUCGGAUCGUAAAACCCUGUUGUUAGAGAAGAAAGUGCGUGAGAGUAACUGUUCACGUUUCGACGGUAUCUAACCAGAAAGCCACGGCUAACUACGUGCCAGCAGCCGCGGUAAUACGUAGGUGGCAAGCGUUAUCCGGAUUUAUUGGGCGUAAAGGGAACGCAGGCGGUCUUUUAAGUCUGAUGUGAAAGCCUUCGGCUUAACCGGAGUAGUGCAUUGGAAACUGGGAGACUUGAGUGCAGAAGAGGAGAGUGGAACUCCAUGUGUAGCGGUGAAAUGCGUAGAUAUAUGGAAGAACACCAGUGGCGAAAGCGGCUCUCUGGUCUGUAACUGACGCUGAGGUUCGAAAGCGUGGGUAGCAAACAGGAUUAGAUACCCUGGUAGUCCACGCCGUAAACGAUGAAUGCUAAGUGUUGGAGGGUUUCCGCCCUUCA
rnacentral:rRNA from 1 species